ACCCCUGCGAUGGAAAAUAUCAGCAACGGCUAUUUUUUUUGCCCAUUUUAAUUGCCAUUUAUGCUUUCUAAAAUUGCUCUAACGGCUCUUUAUCUACCUAAAUUAUUUUCUCUUGCUUUUAAUGCUAUAAAAUGCUUGAAAUGGUGAAAGAAAUUGCAGUUUAAAUAGCAGAUCAAAUUGGAGAGAAAAAGAAGAAGAUCAAUCGGCAGAUCAAAAGAGAGAUAAAAUUCAUUGAGAGGAUCCACGAGAUAAUUUAAGAGAAAAAGAAAAGAGGAUCCAAAAUCCACACGAGAGAUUGUGAAAGAGAUUCAAGAGCUUUCAAAGAGAGGAUCUUUCGAGCCUAUUGUUCAACAUUGAUCUAGAGAUCUUCCAAAGUUUUCAAGAGAUCUUCAAUCAACAAUCAACCUCUUCUCAAGCAUUCGUUCAAGCGUUCAUCCACUUUGAGAAAAUCCGAAAAGGGGUUCUUCAUUUGAGUAAAAUUUUUAUUGUUAUAUUCGCUCAUUUAAAGGAGCUGUUAUUGUAUUAAUCUGUGCUCAAAAUUUUUUAACUCUUUGUGAGUUUUUGUUCUUAUUUUUGGAAGAUUUCCAAAACAAGAAAAGGUUGAUCCGAACCUGAAAUCGGAGUGUUUUGGAUUUACUUGUACCCGAGAAACAAGUGAUCUAGCUUGGGAUAGCUAGUGUCGGAGUUUUCGAUAUUUUGUAUUCAGGUUGAAUACAAGUAUAGUGGAUUGAAAUUCUCAAGUAGGAGCUUGGGGAGUGGAUGUAGGUGCAGGGUUGGCACCGAACCACUAUAAAUCUUUGUGUUUGUGGUGUGCUUUAUCGCUUCACUUUAUUUCUUUAUUAUAUCCUUGCAUUCCUGUUUUAGGUAUUUAAUAUUGAAUUAAAAUCUUUGUCUUGUUCAUCAUAAGUAAUUAAUC
rnacentral:lncRNA from 1 species